UGCGUUCAUUCUGUUUGGCCUG
rnacentral:miRNA from 1 species